rnacentral:rRNA from 1 species
UGGCUCAGGAUGACGCUAGCGGUGUGUUUACACAUGCAAGUCGAGCGAGGCUUCGAGCCGAGCGGCAGACGAGAGAGUAACACGUUGGAACCUACCCCAAACUCAGGGAUAACCUUCUGAAAAGAAGGCUAAUACCGGAUAGCCUCGAAAGAGUAAAGCUUUUGCGGUUUGGGAGGGGCCUGCGGCCUAUCAGCUAGUUGGUAAGGUAAUGGCUUACCAAGGCGAUGACGGGUAGCUGAUGUGAGAGCAUGAUCAGCCUCGAUGGGACUGCGACACGGCCCAUACUCCUACGGGAGGCAGCAGUGAAGAAUCUUCCGCAAUGGACGAAAGUCUGACGGAGCAACACCGCGUGGAGGACGACGGCCUUCGGGUUGUAAACUCCUUUUCUGAGGGAACAAGUAUGAGGGUACCUCAGGAAUAAGGCGCUGCUAACUACGUGCCAGCAGCAGCGGUAAUACGUAGGCGCCAAGCGUUAUCCGGAAUUACUGGGCGUAAAGAGUCUGUAGGCGGCGGAUAAAGUCGAGUGUUAAAUUUUCAUGCUCAACGUGAAAAAUGUACUCGAAACUUAUUUGCUUAGAGUCUGAGAGAGGCUACUGGAAUUCCCAUUGAAGGAGUAAAAUCCGUAGAUCAUGGGAGGAACACCAAAAGCGAAGGCAGGUAGCUGGAUCAGGACUGACGCUGAGAGACGAAAGCGUGGGUAGCGAACAGGAUUAGAUACCCUGGUAGUCCACGCCGUAAACGAUGAGUGCUAGGCGUUGGAGAGUCAUUUCGACCCUUUCCAGUGUCUAAAGUUAACACGUUAAGCACUCCGUCUGGGGAGUACGAGCGCAAGCUUAAAACUCA